CUGGCUCAGGAUGAACGCUAGCGACAGGCUAACACAUGCAAGUCGAGGGGCAUCACGGGAGUAGCAAUACAACUGGUGGCGACCGGCGCACGGGUGAGUAACGCGUAUGCAACCUACCUAUCAGAGGGGAAUAACCCGGCGAAAGUCGGACUAAUACCGCAUAAAACAGGGGCACCGCAUGGUGAUAUUUGUUAAAGAAAUUCGCUGAUAGAUGGGCAUGCGUUCCAUUAGGUAGUUGGUGAGGUAACGGCUCACCAAGCCGACGAUGGAUAGGGGAACUGAGAGGUUGGUCCCCCACACUGGUACUGAGACACGGACCAGACUCCUACGGGAGGCAGCAGUGAGGAAUAUUGGUCAAUGGGCGGGAGCCUGAACCAGCCAAGUCGCGUGAAAGGAAGAAGGAUCUAUGGUUCGUAAACUUCUUUUGCAGGGGAAUAAAGUGCAGGACGUGUCCUGUUUUGUAUGUACCCUGAGAAUAAGGAUCGGCUAACUCCGUGCCAGCAGCCGC
rnacentral:rRNA from 1 species